rnacentral:piRNA from 1 species
UCCCCGAAUAGGAAAACCUACCAAUCCCUG